rnacentral:rRNA from 1 species
GAUGAACGCUGGCGGCGUGCCUAAUACAUGCAAGUCGAGCGAACAGACGAGGAGCUUGCUCCUCUGACGUUAGCGGCGGACGGGUGAGUAACACGUGGAUAACCUACCUAUAAGACUGGGAUAACUUCGGGAAACCGGAGCUAAUACCGGAUAAUAUAUUGAACCGCAUGGUUCAAUAGUGAAAGACGGUUUUGCUGUCACUUAUAGAUGGAUCCGCGCCGCAUUAGCUAGUUGGUAAGGUAACGGCUUACCAAGGCGACGAUGCGUAGCCGACCUGAGAGAGUGAUCGGCCACCCGGGAACGGAGACACGGUCCAGACUCCUACGGGAGGCAGCAGUAGGGAAUCUUCCGCAAUGGGCGAAAGCCUGACGGAGCAACGCCGCGUGAGUGAUGAAGGUCUUCGGAUCGUAAAACUCUGUUAUUAGGGAAGAACAAAUGUGUAAGUAACUAUGCACGUCUUGACGGUACCUAAUCAGAAAGCCACGGCUAACUACGUG